rnacentral:rRNA from 1 species
UACGUAGGGGGCGAGCGUUGUCCGGAUUUAUUGGGCGUAAAGCGUCCGCAGGCGGUCAAGUAAGUUCGAGGUGACAGUGCGUGGCUUAACCGCGCAAGGUCCUUGAAAACUGCUCGACUUGAGGGCUUGAGAGGGACCCGGAAUUCCGGGUGGAGUGGUGAAAUGCGUAGAGAUCCGGAGGAACACCAAAGGCGCAGGCAGAGUCCUGGCAAGCCACUGACGCUCAUGGACGAAAGCUAGGGGAGCGAACGGG